CAGCCGCCGCGGUAACACGUAUGUCACAAGCGUUAUCCGGAUUUAUUGGGCGUAAAGCGCGUCUAGGUGGUUAUGUAAGUCUGAUGUGAAAAUGCAGGGCUCAACUCUGUAUUGCGUUGGAAACUGUGUAACUAGAGUACUGGAGAGGUAAGCGGAACUACAAGUGUAGAGGUGAAAUUCGUAGAUAUUUGUAGGAAUGCCGAUGGGGAAGCCAGCUUACUGGACAGAUACUGACGCUGAAGCGCGAAAGCGUGGGUAGCAAACAGGAUUAGAUACCCCUGUAGUCCCUGUCUCUUAUACA
rnacentral:rRNA from 1 species